GGUCGGGUCAAUUUUUUAAGUUGAGUUAUGUUAAAUUAUUGUAUCCACACGAGUCGAAAUUUAAAUCGGAUAUUUUUUGAAUCGAUUUUAAAUCGGGCUGGGUCGGAUGUGGUUUUGACACCUCUAAUUUAUGGAUGUGAAUGCUUACUAAUCGUUGGGAACUUUUAGCCUAAACUUGCUGGUAGUUAAAAUAAGGUGGUACUUAUACAUCAUUAAAAUCCUACAAUGAUUUUGACAUGAAUGUGAGACACGAAACCUUAAGUGGCAUCCAAACAACAAAAGAAGCCAAGUUAGCUAACGCAAUGUAGUAGGUAAGUCAAGCAUUUGGAGAGUUCCCUUGUCUUUGUGAUUGAUAUUCAAGGGAAAAAAAAAAAAUUACUUUGAAUAAAUCUAAUUUGCUUUGAUAUGAUUGUGCAUAUCACUUAUUGAUCGACUAAUUACAUGCAUCGUAUUUUAUGGAAUAUAACUUAAAAAAAAAAAACACUUCCUUUGUCCCUAAAUAUAGCUCUCAUUUGACUUUUGGUCUCUAAAAUGUGUCUUAAAAGGUCUAUAUCUCUAUUUUUAUACAUGUAAAAAUUAUAAAAAGUUGAUUUUAAUAAAAUAUACAACACUAGUAGAAAAAAAACAAAUGGGCACCAAGGAAUUCACACCGGUUCUUAAAAACCGGCGGACAAAAAUGUGUUGGCACCGGUUAACCGAUGCCGUUGUUCUAGAAAAUGAAAACCAAAAAAAAUAAGAAAAGGCACCGGUUAACCGGUGCCAAAAACCCUUAUAUUCUCUAUAUACUCCCUCAGCCCCUCUCUCUCUCUCAUAAUCCGCUUCUCUCUCAUCUGUUCUCUCAUCUUCUUCUUCCUCAUCUGUUCUCUCUUCCUCAUUUUCGAAAUCUUAGUCGACGUUUCGAAACCAUCGCCGCCACCGUUCAUGCAACCAUCAGCCUCCGCCGUUCAUGCAAUCACCAGCCGCCGUUCUUCUCUCCGUUAAUUAUUAGAAAAUCAAAAAGUUGAGGUUAGGGUUUCUGGUUUCUUUAGUUUUGCGUUUUGGUUCAAUUAUUUAUGUUAAAUUGCCUUGAUUAUGAGUUUUUUCCGUUAAUUGUUCAUGUUCUCUCCGUCAAUUAUUAGAAAAUCAGAAUUAUUUGGGUUUUUUUUGUUCAAAGUUUCUGGGUUUUUUGGGUUCUGGGUUCGACAUUUUUAGGUUUUUUUGGGUUUUUCUGGGUUCAAAAUUUCUGGGUUUUGUGGGUUUCUUUUUUUUGAGUUUUUAUGGUUAAACCCCUCAACCUUCACUCCCAACAACUCUCUUCUUCUACUCUCACAUUUUUCCUCUGUUUUCCUUUUUUCUUGAUUUUUUCUACUUCAAUCAGCAUUAAAUUAAGACCCCAGAUAAUUUUUUCAACAAUUAAGGCCAAAAAAUCAAAAGGGUCAAUUUUAUUUUGGGUUUUUCUUUGUGGGUUUUUUUUUAUUGAUUGAUUGAAAAUGGGGGACGAAGAAACCCUAGGAUUUGGGGAUUCAGGAAAAUUGAAGGGUGAAAUUGAUACUUCAGCGCCAUUUGAGUCUGUUAAAGAAGCUGUCACUAAGUUUGGUGGGCUUGGAUUUUGGAAGCCUGUUUCUAUUUACAUAAAUCCACUCAUUCUUUUCUGGUAGUAUUAUUAUUUCAAAAAAAAAUUACAAGGAUUCCACAUAGAAGAAGCUACGGAUUCAAGAUUCGGAUUAACAUGUUUUGUUGUUCAUUGUUGCGUUUUUUUUUUUAAAUUGUAAAAUAACAAUUUAUUUGAUGAAUAUGUGUGUGUGUGUUUAGUGUA